rnacentral:rRNA from 1 species
GCUCUGUGGAUCAGUGGCGAACGGGUGAGUAACACGUGAGCAACCUGCCCCGGACUCUGGGAUAAGCGCUGGAAACGGCGUCUAAUACCGGAUACGAGAUUCCACCGCAUGGUGAGUUUCUGGAAAGAUUUUUUGGUCUGGGAUGGGCUCACGGCCUAUCGUUGGUGAGGUAAUGGCUCACCAAGGCGUCGACGGGUAGCCGGCCUGAGAGGGUGACCGGCCACACUGGGACUGAGACACGGCCCAGACUCCUACGGGAGGCAGCAGUGGGGAAUAUUGCACAAUGGGCGGAAGCCUGAUGCAGCAACGCCGCGUGAGGGAUGACGGCCUUCGGGUUGUAAACCUCUUUUAGCAGGGAAGAAGCGAAAGUGACGGUACCUGCAGAAAAAGCGCCGGCUAACUACGUGCCAGCAGCCGCGGUAAUACGUAGGGCGCAAGCGUUAUCCGGAAUUAUUGGGCGUAAAGAGCUCGUAGGCGGUUUGUCGCGUCUGCUGUGAAAUCCCGAGGCUCAACCUCGGGUCUGCAGUGGGUACGGGCAGACUAGAGUGCGGUAGGGGAGAUUGCUGGUGUAGCGGUGGAAUGCGCAGAUAUCAGGAGGAACACCGAUGGCGAAGGCAGAUCUCUGGGCCGUUACUGACGCUGAGGAGCGAAAGGGUGGGGGAGCAAACAGGCUCAGAUACCCUGGUAGUCCACCCCGUAAACGUUGGGGAACUAGUUGUGGGGGUCCCAUUCCACGGAUUCCGUGACGCACUAACGCAUUAAUUUCCCCGCCCGGGGGAGAACGCCGCAGGGCUAAAACUCAAAGGGAAGUGAGGGGGACGGGCUU